CGCGUAGGUGGAUAGGUAAGUCAGAUGUGAAAUCCUGAGGCUUAACCUCAGAACUGCAUUUGAUACUGCCUACCUUGAGUGUGGUAGAGGAGAGUGGAAUUCCCGGUGUAGAGGUGAAAUUCGUAGAUAUCGGGAGGAACACCUGUGGCGAAGGCGACUCUCUGGGCCACUACUGACGCUGAGGCGCGAAAGCGUGGGUAGCAAACA
rnacentral:rRNA from 1 species